GACAGAGGUCCCAAGCGUUAGGCGGAAUCACUGGGCUUAAAGCGUGUGUAGGCGGAUUUGUAAGUACCUUGUGAAAUCCCACGGCUUAACCGUGGAACUGCUUGGUAUACUGCUUAUCUUGGGCCAUCUAGGGGCUGCCGGAACAAAUGGUGGAGCGGUGAAAUGCGUAGAUAUCGGGAGGAACACCAAUGGCGAAGGCAGCUUGCUGGGACGGUACUGACGCUGAGACGCGAAAGCGUGGGGAGCAAACAGG
rnacentral:rRNA from 1 species